rnacentral:rRNA from 1 species
GGUUAAGCGACUAAGCGUACACGGUGGAUGCCCUGGCAGUCAGAGGCGAUGAAGGGCGUGCUAAUCUGCGAUAAGCGCCGGUAAGGUGAUAUGAACCGUUAUAACCGGCGAUACCCGAAUGGGGAAACCCAGUGUGACUCGUCACACUAUCAUUAACUGAAUCCAUAGGUUAAUGAGGCGAACCGGGGGAACUGAAACAUCUAAGUACCCCGAGGAAAAGAAAUCAACCGAGAUUCCCCCAGUAGCGGCGAGCGAACGGGGAGGAGCCCAGAGCCUGAAUCAGCAUGUGUGUUAGUGGAAGCGUCUGGAAAGGCGCGCGAUACAGGGUGACAGCCCCGUACACAAAAGCGCAUGUGCUGUGAGCUCGAUGAGUAGGGCGGGACACGUGGUAUCCUGUCUGAAUAUGGGGGGACCAUCCUCCAAGGCUAAAUACUCCUGACUGACCGAUAGUGAACCAGUACCGUGAGGGAAAGGCGAAAAGAACCCCGGCGAGGGGAGUGAAAAAGAACCUGAAACCGUGUACGUACAAGCAGUGGGAGCACAGGUUUACCUGUGUGACUGCGUACCUUUUGUAUAAUGGGUCAGCGACUUAUAUUCUGUAGCAAGGUUAACCGAAUAGGGGAGCCGGAGGGAAACCGAGUCUUAAUUGGGCGUUAAGUUGCAGGGUAUAGACCCGAAACCCGGUGAUCUAGCCAUGGGCAGGUUGAAGGUUGGGUAACACUAACUGGAGGACCGAACCGACUAAUGUUGAAAAAUUAGCGGAUGACCUGUGGCUGGGGGUGAAAGGCCAAUCAAACCGGGAGAUAGCUGGUUCUCCCCGAAAGCUAUUUAGGUAGCGCCUCGUGAAUUCAUCUCCGGGGGUAGAGCACUGUUUCGGCUAGGGGGCCAUCCCGGCU